rnacentral:misc_RNA from 1 species
GGAUACCCAACUACGAUCCCUAGAAUUUCUCCUCCUUCAGUACUAUGGAGUCCUCUGUCUCUAGGGAAGGUAAUAGGCCGGGUAUUUGCAAAUACUAUACCCAACCGAACCCUAAUAGAACAAUUUUUGAUAAUAUAUAAUCAGGUUUAAAAUAGAUAGAAAAUAAUGCCUGUAACGGAUUUAGUUUGAAUUCAAAUUUUGAGUAUUGAAUAUCAG